CUCAGCGAGGCCAGAAUUCCUAGAGCCUGCCUACUUUCGAGUCUUUCCUGACAGGCAUCUGGCUCCACAAGUCUAUCCUGAUGGGAGACAUGGGUCCCUUCAACAUUUAGUCCAGGAGGUUAGACACCAAAACCAUCGUCUGGAACCUGCUGCCAAGGCGAGCUGCAGCCAUGUGAAGACAGCCGGAAGCACAGCAUCACUCUUGAACCUGCCUCCCAGCUCAGGCCACUACAAGAAGAUCUACCGUCAUGGACCUGCCAGUGCCAGUCUUGAUAAUAAAAGUGCUGUGAGUCCUCAGCAUUGUCCUUUGAACCAGGAUGGAGCCCACAGGAUUUUAUGAGCCUGCUUUGCUUCUCUGACUGAAUCGUGGGACCAAGAUCAGCCCAAAGCGUUACAGCUUAAAUCAGACUGCAGUCAACCUCAUUCCUUCCCCAGAGAAAUUCCAAAUAAAAUGGUGUGAAAAAGGUU
rnacentral:lncRNA from 1 species